CUGCGGUGUCUGCAGCCAGCCCUCCUUGCCCAGGCAGCCUGAGGACAUGUGGGUGCUGGGCUGGGCUGUGUGCCCAGUGCCAGCUGUCUCCAAUCGGCCCUGGUGACCCUGGCACAUCCUCAUUUUUGCCAGUUAUCACUGCAAGAAGCAGCAAGUAGGUAUCUGCCUACUCCCUUACUUAACUGAAGAGGACCCUCAUAUUCAAAAGCUUCUUAUAUUUUCUUCAGAGAGUUGGAGCAGCCUCCAGCACAGAAAUUUCAGCCAGUGUUAUUGCCUGUCAGUUCUAAUCCCUCAGAAUUUCAGCCAGCAAGGGUAUAAUAAGGUAAGUUUUGUCUUUUCAAA
rnacentral:lncRNA from 1 species